AGAGUUUGAUCAUGGCUCAGAACGAACGCUGGCGGCAGGCUUAACACAUGCAAGUCGAACGGUUGUAGCAAUACAGCAGUGGCAGACGGGUGAGUAACACGUGGGAACCUUCCUAGGGGUACGGAACAACUCAGGGAAACUUGAGCUAAUACCGUAUACGUCCGUGGGGAGAAAGAUUUAUCGCCCUUAGACGGGCCCGCGUCGGAUUAGCUAGUUGGUGGGGUAACGGCCUACCAAGGCGACGAUCCGUAGCUGAUCUUAGAGGAUGAUCAGCCACACUGGGACUGAGACACGGCCCAGACUCCUACGGGAGGCAGCAGUGGGGAAUCUUGGACAAUGGGCGCAAGCCUGAUCCAGCCAUGCCGCGUGAGUGAAGAAGGUCUUCGGAUUGUAAAGCUCUUUGCCAGGGACGAUAAUGACGGUACCUGGAGAAUAAGCCCCGGCAAACUUCGUG
rnacentral:rRNA from 1 species